UCCCUGGUAGUCUAGUGGUUAAGACUCGUGUUUCCACCGCAAGAGGCACAGGUUUGAUCCCUGGUUGGGGAA
rnacentral:tRNA from 1 species